rnacentral:rRNA from 1 species
UACGAAGGGGGCUAGCGUUGCUCGGAAUGACUGGGCGUAAAGAGCGUGUAGGCGGUUUGGUAGGUCCGCUGUGAAAACUCGAGGCUCAACCUCGAGACGCCGGUGGAAACCAUCAGACUAGAGUCCGGAAGAGGAGAGUGGAAUUCCUGGUGUAGCGGUGAAAUGCGCAGAUAUCAGGAAGAACACCCGUGGCUAAGGCGGCUCUCUAGUACGGUACUGACGCUGAGACGCGAAAGCGUGGGGAGCGAACAGG